rnacentral:rRNA from 1 species
UACGUAGGGCGCAAGCGUUAUCCGGAAUUAUUGGGCGUAAAGAGCUCGUAGGCGGUUUGUCGCGUCUGCCGUGAAAGUCCGGGGCUCAACUCCGGAUCUGCGGUGGGUACGGGCAGACUAGAGUGAUGUAGGGGAGACUGGAAUUCCUGGUGUAGCGGUGAAAUGCGUAGAUAUCUGGAGGAACACCGGUGGCGAAGGCGGCAUCCUGGACCGGUAUUGAUGCUGAGGCGCGAAAGCCAGGGGAGCAAACGGG